rnacentral:rRNA from 1 species
UAGGGAAUCUUCGGCAAUGGACGAAAGUCUGACCGAGCAACGCCGCGUGAGUGAAGAAGGUUUUCGGAUCGUAAAACUCUGUUGUUAGAGAAGAACAAGGACGUUAGUAACUGAACGUCCCCUGACGGUAUCUAACCAGAAAGCCACGGCUAACUACGUUCCAGCAGCCGCGGUAAUACGUAGGUGGCAAGCGUUGUCCGGAUUUAUUGGGCGUAAAGCGAGCGCAGGCGGUUUCUUAAGUCUGAUGUGAAAGCCCACGGCUCAACCGGGGAGGGUCAUUGGAAAAUGGGGGACUGGGGUGCAGAAGGGGAGAGUGGAAGUCCAUGUGUAGCGGUGAGAUGCGUAGAUAUAUGGGGGAACACAAGUGGCAAAGGCGGAUCUCAAGUAUGUAACUGACGCUGAGGCUCGAAAGCGUGGGGAGCAAACAGG